GUAACACCAUUAAACAUUUUUCCUGGAUAGACGCAUCAUCCCUGUCACAUCAUCUAAUUCUACAGAUACGAUCUGUGAACUUGGCAUACAACUCUGAGCCACUGCUUUCUGCUUUCUCAACCCCUCUGCACUUACAAAUUGGCUACUAGCUCAAGGAGAUUCAAGGCUACUAGCUUCAAGGAGAAUGUAGGGCUUACCUCGUUGCAGUUCGCUUUUCCAUGGGAUCGUGGACCCUCAAGUCCUGGCAGCCUGGGUUGCUUUCUGAUGCCUUCAAACAACUCCUAAAUGCCUACCAGCACCAAGCAGGAAAUGAUAAAAAGAGGCUGAUGAGUUUCGGGUGUGGUUCAGCCUGGGAAGCCUCCUUAUUCACAGGAAGCCAGUCCUCGGCUUACACAGCAUCAGGGGAUCAACCACCACACCGUGAUCUAAACUGAGGCCCGCAGAAGUUGGAACAAUGUUAAAAUGAAAGCUUAAAUCAGCCCCAAUUAAAAGAUGAUAUGUCAUUUAAAUCACAA